CAAGGUAGAGCCGGGAGAAGAGAGGGUUGGGAGUGGGGGAGCGGCGGCGGCGGCGGUGGGGGCGGGGGGUUAGAGGGGCGCCGUCGGUACCGCUUGUACGUCCUCAGCGAGCCGGACCACCCGUGCUACGCGCCGGUGUUGCUGCACCACUGCCGCUAGCGGCGCGGCUAGCUGUUGAGCGGGAUGUAGCACAGGCCGAGGGCGCUGUUCAGCGACGACCAGACCCUGGAGUGGUUGGGCCAGGUCAGGGAGCCGCUGCCGUGGCAGCCGUGGCUGAUGCGGCACGGGAAGGCGGCGGAGUGGCCGGUGCCGGUGAAGCAGGUCCUGCACCAGUAGUCGAGGCUGCCGGUCAAGCGCGAGAGCCCGAGGACCCUGCCGCUCGAGGCGGAGACCCUGGAGAGGUGGCCGGAGUGGUGGGCGGCGAAGCAGCCGGUGAGGUUCCUGCAGUAGAGCCAGCGGAAGAGGCAGCUGUUGGCGGUCUAGCAGAGGCGAAGGGCGCUGUUGUGGUAGUUCGAGACCUUGUGGGAGCCGCUCACGUUCAUGUGGUAGCCGCCGCUGUACCCGCCGCCGCUCCCGGUGUGGCCGACCCAGAGCACGCAGUCCAAGAGGGGGUUGUAGGUCGUCGGGUGGUAGCAGAGGCCGAGGACCCUGUUCUGGCAGUUCCAGACCUUGGAGUGGUUGACGUUCGAGGCGAGGUGGGAGCGGCCGGUGCCACCGAUACAGUUACGGCAGCGGCAGUCGGGGCUACCGAGCGAGACGCGGAGGCCGCCGUUCCUGCCGCAGUGAGACGAGACCCUGGACAGGCUCCCCUUCUCCGACAUGGUCGACCUUCGGCCGAGGUAGUAGGUACGCGAGACGAAGAGCGGGUUGGCGAUGACCGAGACACGGCGCUGUCUCCUCAGACAGUUCUAGACCCUGGAGCUCAGGUUCGUACAGCACGUCCUGGAGUUCGGUCUUCAGGUCCAGAGGUUCUUGGUCUACGACAUGACGUGUUCGAACUCGACCUCGCGCCUGCCUUCGUGGGAGAUGUGGCCUAUGUGGCUGCCUUGGUAGUCCCAGAAGUUCUAAGUUCGGCCCAAGCGGCCCAUGCGCAUCCUCAGAACGACCGGCUUCUCCAACAUUACGGACAGUUCAAAAACUGACAAGACUCCGUGAACCAGACGGACCAUGAAAGUCGAACUCAAUGAUAAAUGAAAGACGAAUCCACUAAACAACUACUCGUGUAAUACUCCAUGAUACCUUCUGCUAGACAAAGCGUGGUCCCAAAACGAAAACUGACGACGAAAGUUAUAUGACGUUGAUAAAUCGGCGCGGACUAGCAUAAACAGAAACGCCCAAUGACCAACAGCAAACGCAACGGGAACACUCAACGACUAACAAACACUUGACACCUCACAACAAAAGGCCACUAGGGGAAACAGAACGUCGUGAACAAGUCACGCGAAACGUACCUCCUCGAUAAGAGUAGUUGAAGCUCAGAGAAAGGAGACCAUACUGACAGUAGUCGAGGAAGAGAUAUUCUUCUCGAGUAGAACUCACGCUAAGCCUAGUUUUGUUUACCUGCCUCGGAGCAAAACGGCUUCGUUCACAUCCGACGUGUUACAGAACUCGUGAACAACGAAUUGAGCGACAUGGGACACUCGUAGACAGCUAAUCGUUAACGGGAGAUCAAUAACUAAUAUGGGGCACCUUCGGGCUUCGUACUGAGCUCAACCUAAUCAGUGUUAGACAGUGGAGGCAGACUGUAGUAGAGACUUGGGUCGGAGAGGGUAAAAUAUUGGGAAGGGCUAACGCUUAAAGAGUUACGCAUUAGUCAGAGAAGCGGUAGCAGCUGGUUUAGUCGUCGGAGCGCACGGGUGCUGGUCCAGGUACAGGUUGCGUCGUCUUCGUCCGCGAGGUAAAGGAAGAGAUCGGUUCAUCGUCUGCGUCGCGAGGGUAAGGAAGAGGGAGCCGUUCGUGGUGCGGCCACGUGGACUAGGGUCUCGCGUCGGUACAGGAGGGACAUGUUCGUCGACCCGGACCCGCGGCGGCCGAGCGGCGAGUGCCGGAGGGUGGAGGAGUACGAGCAGGAGCCGCGGCCGAAGGAGCGGAAGUGGCAGAAGCAGCAGGUGGGGUUGCUGAAGGCGGAGGUCAGGAAGAAGAGGCCGCCGACGGGGCCGAGGGGCGGGGUGCUGCGGCAGGAGAACGGCCAGUUCGUGCGGCUGCGGUGGUGCGGCCGGUUCCGCGGCCAGCUCGUGGGGCCGCACGCGCACGACUAGCCGUAGGUCUGCUACGGCCCGUUCAUGCUCGCCGCCGUGGACGACGCCUGGCAGAUGCGCGACGUCGACGUCCUCGUGGGGCGGGAGCGGCCGCGGCACCUGCACGCGAAGCAGAAGACGUUGCAGUGGAGGCGGCAGCUGCGGCACGACCACCGGGACCUCUAGUACGCGAUGCCGCUGUAGUAGCACGACUUGACGCGGCUCUUGUACCUGCCGCCGUUCUGCAUGCUGAAGAAGCGGUGGCGGCGCGCGCGGAAGGGGCUGCCGCGGAUGCUGAUGCACUACUUCCGACUGCUGCUGUGCAUGGACGCCGAGGGCCGCGACCGCCGCACCUACCGGCCGCGCCGCGCCCUCCUGCGCAUGGACCCGGACGUCUACGGGACGCUGGCGCUCUUGAAGAUGGGCAAGGGCGGGAAGUACAGGCCGUACCCCAUGCGCGACAGCACCCUGGACCACGCGACCCACCGCGCCAGCCUCCAGUCGGCGGCGCUGGCGCAGCCCGGCCUCCUGUACACCUGCCCCGCCACCGAGUUGCAGCGGCCGUUCCGGUUCUUGGCCAUGCUGCCGCGGGGGUCCUACAUGUUGAUGGACCCCUCGAGGGGCCGGUUGACGAAGGCCGCGCCGAAGGCGGGCCUGUGGUAGCGGCACGUGUACGAGUUCCUGCGGCCGGCCACCCGCCUCUGCGAGCGGAUGAAGUUGCGGUGGCGGCGCGACGGCGGCAGGCCGGAGAUGGUGGACGGAACUUUGCCAGGAGCAAAACGAAGAACCGAGCUGGGCCAGCCGUCACACGCAACUUAAACACGCCCACCAACACCAACAACCUAUUCUUCUCCUAUUAAACUGUGCAGGUAAACAUGCAGUAUGUAACUAUGUAUGUAAGUACCACAGACAGGUCACGCACAUAAAGUAAGCAUCAUGUAUGAGUGAAGCAAAGAAAAAAUGAAGUGUAUGAUCUAAACAAAUUUAAGUUUGAAAUAUUUUAAACUG
rnacentral:rRNA from 1 species